CUUGUCCCUUGACGGUAUCUAACCAGAAAGCCACGGCUAACUACGUGCCAGCAGCCGCGGUAAUACGUAGGUGGCAAGCGUUGUCCGGAUUUAUUGGGCGUAAAGCGCGCGCAGGCGGUCUUUUAAGGCUGAUGUGAAAGCCCCCGGCUUAACCGGGGAGGGUCAUUGGAAACUGGAAGACUGGAGUGCAGAAGAGGAGAGUGGAAUUCCACGUGUAGCGGUGAAAUGCGUAGAUAUGUGGAGGAACACCAGUGG
rnacentral:rRNA from 1 species